rnacentral:rRNA from 1 species
UUCCGGUUGAUCCUGCCGGAAUUGGAGUCAACGCCGGGCUUCCGGUUGAUCCUGCCGGAGGCCAUUGCUAUCGGGGUCCGAUUUAGCCAUGCUAGUCGCACGGGUUCAGACCCGUGGCGAACAGCUCAGUAACACGUGGCCAAGCUACCCUGUGGUCGCGGACAACCUCGGGAAACUGAGGCUAAUCCGCGAUACCGCUCCCAGGCUGGAGUGCCGGGAGCGCCAAACGUUCCGGCGCCACAGGAUGCGGCUGCGGCCGAUUAGGUAGACGGUGGGGUAACGGCCCACCGUGCCGAUAAUCGGUACGGGUGGUGAGAGCCAGAGCCCGGAGAUGGAAUCUGAGACAAGAUUCCAGGCCCUACGGGGCGCAGCAGGCGCGAAACCUUUACACUGCACGAAAGUGCGAUAAGGGGACCCCGAGUGCGAGGGCAUACAGUCCUCGCUUUUGUGUACCGUAGGGAGGUACACGAAUAAGGGCUGGGCAAGACCGGUGCCAGCCGCCGCGGUAAUACCGGCAGCUCAAGUGAUGGCCGCUAUUAUUGGGCCUAAAGCGUCCGUAGCCGGCCGCACAAGUCCGUCGGGAAAUCCACCCGCCUAACGGGUGGGCGUCCGGCGGAAACUGUGCGGCUUGGGACCGGAAGACUCGAGGGGUACGUCCGGGGUAGGAGUGAAAUCCCGUAAUCCUGGACGGACCGCCGGUGGCGAAAGCGCCUCGAGAGGACGGAUCCGACGGUGAGGGACGAAAGCUAGGGUCUCGGACCGGAUUAGAUACCCGGGUAGUCCUAGCCGUAAACGAUGCUCGCUAGGUGUGGCGCAGGCUACGAGCCUGCGCUGUGCCGUAGGGAAGCCGUGAAGCGAGCCGCCUGGGAAGUACGUCCGCAAGGAUGAAACUUAAAGGAAUUGGCGGGGGAGCACUACAACCGGAGGAGCCUGCGGUUUAAUUGGAUUCAACGCCGGA